UGGUUAUUGUGAGCAGAAGGUCAGACAAUAGGCAAAAGGAUAAAGAUUUGAGUGUGUUGGCAGUCAGGAGAAUCUCAUCGGACAGGACGAACCAACACACAUCAACCCCACUGCUGCAACUUUCCACUGACUCACCACAGUAUCAGUGUGUUUGCCGCCCCCUGUUUUGACUACAACCACCUGAAAAUACAUAUUUCUAAGCAGGUCAACUUGGAGAUGAACUUUAAAGGAAGAUGUAACAAAUGGUCGGAACCUCUCAGGCAAUUCAUAUCUGCUGAAGUGUCAUAACCCUCUACAUAUCCUGACCUCAAUUUGGAGUCUGCGUGUUGAAGGCCCAUCUGAGGGAAGAUGGUAUCGAUCUGAGCGGAGACUCUGGCAGCAUCAAUAAACAACAGGCUUCAGUCUUCAAGGCUGAGGAGACACAUCUCUAUUUCAGCCAGAGGGUUCGCAUCUGGAUACCUGAGUUGGGAUGUGGCCCUGGACAGAUGGUAGGACGUGUUUUUUUUGCUGAACUCACAUCAGGUCCAGCCCCCUUGUGAGACCAAAGCCAGUGAUAUCUUCCUACUGUUAUGUCAAGGUAAAUGGGUAUGGGCCUUAAACCACAAGCUCACACGUUUUUACUUUGAAUAAUUAACGUUAAUGAUAAGGGGCAUUGUAAAUAGAAAGCUACCAAGUAACCUUCAGUAUCUGUGAGAACAAUCAAUGCUUAACCAGCAGACAAAUAGUAUUUGAAGAUCUUCUAUAUCAGCAUUACAGUGAAGAAAGACAAUGCUGACUUUGGCUCAUUAAUCAAUAAACACAACAAGCCAACCAAUGCAUCUGACAUAGACUAAUGAAAUAAUAAUCCUCAGAGGAGGAGGAGGAAGAAGAAGCAAAAACAGGCUGCAUUUGGACACUUAGUUACACACACAAAAACAGCCAUAGAUAAAAAUAAAACCAUAGUAAAUAAGUAAUGGGCAAUCUUGCUGGACAAUUUUCUUGCUGUCUUGCUUACUUGCUUUUCCCUCUUUGCUGAGAAAGUUAAAUAAGUGUGCCUCAUAUAUUUAGAGUCAAACUGAGCUCACUUUGUGCUAAGCAGC
rnacentral:lncRNA from 15 species